UAGAACACAUGCUACCAACGGGGAGACAAGUGAAAAUCUCUGAGAGUGAGAUCAAGGUAAUCAUCGGUCAGAUCAACUAAACCUGUAACAUGUCUUCACCAAGCAAGCUUGCUUUAACUGUUGCUACAAAUACCUUGCAUGUUCUCCAAGUAUCAGGUAGCUUAAACAAGUUGUCCAAGUUGUUUGUCAAGAACUUGGAGCCAGCUGUGUCCAGUUUAAGUUCAAGCCAGUUAAGACUGCUUAGGACCACCAGCCCUCCAAUUGGGCUUGAACAAGUGUUUGCCCAUGACCUUUUGACAUCAGAGGGCCCAAAACUCCACCCUCAGAACAUGCUAAUGUCUCCAUUUCUUGAAUCUUCAGCCUAUGAAGAAGCCUAUAGCAUAGUUUUGCCUGAGCAGAACAACAAUUACAUCACUUUCUAAUUUCCAAUCACCUUUUCCCAUGCUUCCCAUGCCUCAGCUUUAUCCCAUAAAUACCCCCAGCCCCUCAUUUCAGGGGAUGCUGGUUUGAGAGUUCUCCAUCUUUCUGUUUGGUCGCCUUGUGGAUGAGCCCUUUGGUGCAAAGUUUGGCAUCUCAGCAUUUGGUUUGCUGUAUAUGUCAGAAAGCAACCUGUUUAAGUAAGAAGAGGAUGUUGGGCAUGCACCCAGUCUUCUGUAGUGGAGCAGGCCAAGGAGAAGAAACUUGCAGGCAAACAGAUUCAGCUGUGCAGUUAGGAAGAGCUUGGGGAAAGGCAGCCUCUAGGGAGAGACUGAGGCUACCCUCCCCCUAUGGCUCCAGCUCCACCUCCACCUCUAUGCCGCGCUGGUUGGGAUCAAGGCUUUGGUACACAGCUACAGGACUGGGGCUGAGCUUGCAGGCUAAUAAG